UAUACUGCAUUUACUUAGUUACUUUAGUUACUGUUUACUUUGGAUGCUGCGUCAGAGGAAAGUGGUGCAUUGCAGGUUUUAGCCGUUAACCGAUACUUAAGUACAUUUAAUAUCAGAUAGUUUAAAAUUGUAAGUCAAGUACUUGAUCUGCACAGGGCUUUAACUUUUACCUAGUAAUGUUUCAACAAGAUUUCUUUAUUUUGACUCAAGAAUGACUUUUGGGUACUUUGUACAUGUGGGAUAUUUAAGAGUUCUUAUUUACUGAAGGUGACUCUCGUUUCUUUGCCUGCUUUGUUUCUUCGGUGGUUCGUUCAGCUCUUUACAAACGGUGCAGAGUCUGUUUGUUCCAGACACACCAGAAACUUCCUAAACACCUGAGGAGAGUCAUACCACAUCCCAAACGACAAAUACAACCAAUUUAUUGACUGCGGUUCUGCUGCACGGAGAGCCGGCAGCAGCUCGUCCUCGCUUCGUGCCAUUAUUGACAUUCCCAACGAUCUCCUCACAUCCCGUGCCAUGGCGAGGUGACACAGAGAUUCUCUGUCCUCUCCCUUCCCAGUGCACUCUGGGAGAGCCACCAAAAGCAGUUUUACGACCAAGAGCUGCCGACGCUCACUUCCUGCCAAGAAGCAGCGAGACGAGGUUCAAAGUGAUCAGCGGCACACAUACCAACACACGUGCAGGGAGGAACACACAUAAACACUUCAAGACACAAACCCUGGCAUAAAUGUGACUGAAGUACAGCCAACAGGUGGAUGUAACAAGUCCAUGCCUGUUCUGAGCUCUGUCAUAAGGCACAAAGACCUCCGGCAACGACAGGAAGCUUCUAGUCUGGCUGCAUAAAGAGCUGAAAGUUAAGUUAGUGAUUGUUUUUACGUCUAUUUCCACACAGGCCGCAUCAACGAGUCAGACACAUGAUAAGGAAUUAGGCAUUUAUAGCAAAUGUUUCCAGUUGGAUUUAGCAGUAAACUGAGGAGGUCUUAAAUGAUCUGAGCAGUUUAGUCCAUAAAACAGGAGGCAGGGGUGGAAGGAGGUGCAGCUCAUUGUUCCAACGCCCCAAAACGUCCCACUGGAUAGAAAACCCUGAUGUCCAACAACCUGUUAACCUGAAAACAAACAGCCAUUGCUCUGAAAAU